rnacentral:rRNA from 1 species
UCUCCUACGGGACGCAGCAGUGAGGAAUAUUGGUCAAUGGUCGGGAGACUGAACCAGCCAAGCCGCGUGAGGGAUGAAGGUACAGAGUAUCGUAAACCUCUUUUGUCAGGGAACAAAGGCGGGGACGUGUCCCCGGAUGAGUGUACCUGAAGAAAAAGCAUCGGCUAACUCCGUGCCAGCAGCCGCGGUAAUACGGAGGAUGCGAGCGUUAUCCGGAUUUAUUGGGGUUAAAGGGUGCGCAGGCGGCGUGUCAACCAAGCGGUAAAAUAGCGGGGCUCAAACCCGUCGAGCCGUUUGAACUGGCG